ACGGGAGGCAGCAGUGGGGAAUAUUGGGCAAUGGAGGAAACUCUGACCCAGCAACGCCGCGUGAAGGAAGAAGGUUUUCGGAUCGUAAACUUCUAUCCUUGGUGAAAAUCGUGAUGGUAGCCAAGAAGGAAGCCCCGGCUAACUACGUGCCAGCAGCCGCGGUAAUACGUAGGGGGCAAGCGUUGUCCGGAAUGAUUGGGCGUAAAGGGCGCGUAGGCGGUCUGCUAAGUCUGGAGUGAAAUUCCUGCUUUUAAGGUGGGAACUGCUUUGGAUACUGGCGGGCUUGAGUGCAGGAGAGGUAAGCGGAAUUCCCGGUGUAGCGGUGAAAUGCGUAGAGAUCGGGAGGAACACCAGUGGCGAAGGCGGCUUACUGGACUGUUACUGACGCUGAGGCGCGAAAGUGUGGGGAGCAAACAGGAUUAGAUACCCUGGUA
rnacentral:rRNA from 1 species